rnacentral:tRNA from 1 species
GGGAGAUUAGCUCAGUUGGUUAGAGCACUGCAUUUACACUGCAGGUGUCGGGGGUUCGAAUCCCUCAUCGCCCA